CCCUGCCAUUUGUACACACCGCCCGUCGCACCUACCGAUUGAAUGAUUCGGUGAAACUCUCGGACCGCAGUCAAGACACCUUCGGGCGACUAGACAGUGGGAAGUUAUUUAAACCUCAUCAUUUAGAGGAAGGU
rnacentral:rRNA from 1 species